UACAGAGGGUGCGAGCGUUGUCCGAAAUCACUGGGCGUAAAGGGCGCGUAGGUGGCGACCCAAGUCUGUGGUGAAAGCUCGCCGCUCAACGGCGCGUCGGCCACGGAUACUGGGUUGCUCGAGCACUGUAGAGGCAGAUGGAAUUCCGGGUGUAGCGGUGGAAUGCGUAGAGAUCCGGAAGAACACCGGUGGCGAAGGCGGUCUGCUGGGCAGUAGCUGACACUGAGGCGCGACAGCGUGGGGAGCAAACAGG
rnacentral:rRNA from 1 species